GGGUGGAUGGCUCAGUGGUUAGAGCCUAGGGCUUAGGAGCGAAAGGUCUAGAGUUCGAAUCUCGCAAGAGGCA
rnacentral:tRNA from 1 species